AGUGGACAUGGGUGGUACUGUG
rnacentral:miRNA from 15 species